AGACGGGAUAUAGCUUGCUAUAUUUGUCAGCUAAGUGGCGCACGGGUGAGUAAUGUAUAGAUAACCUGCCCUCUAGAAAGGAAUAACAGUUGGAAACGACUGCUAAUGCCCUAUAUGCCUUUAAUACAUAAGUAUGCAAGGGAAACGCUUUAGUGCUAGAGGMYGGGUCUGUAUGGUAUCAGCUUGUUGGUGAGGUAAUGGCUCACCAAGGCUAUGACGCCUAACUGGUUUGAGAGGAUGAUCAGUCACACUGGAACUGAGACACGGUCCAGACUCCUACGGGAGGCAGCAGUGGGGAAUAUUGCACAAUGGACGAAAGUCUGAUGCAGCAACGCCGCGUGGAGGAUGACACAUUUCGGUGCGUAAACUCCUUUUAUAUAGGAAGAUAAUGACGGUACUAUAUKAAUAAGCACCGGCUAACUCCGUGCCAGCAGCCGCGGUAAUACGGAGGGUGCAAGCGUUACUCGGAAUCACUGGGCGUAAAGAGCGUGUAGGCGGGUAUAUAAGUCAGAAGUGAAAUCCAAUAGCUUAACUAUUGAACUGCUUUUGAAACUGUAUACCUAGAAUGUGGGAGAGGUAGAUGGAAUUUCUGGUGUAGGGGUAAAAUCCGUAGAGAUCAGAAGGAAUACCGAUUGCGAAGGCGAUCUACUGGAACAUUAUUGACGCUGAGACGCGAAAGCGUGGGGAGCAAACAGGAUUAGAUACCUGGUAGUCCACGCCCUAAACGAUGUACACUAGUUGUUGUGAGGCUCGACCUUGCAGUAAUGCAGUUAACACAUUAAGUGUACCGCCUGGGGAGUACGGUCGCAAGAUUAAAACUCAAAGGAAUAGACGGGGACCCGCACAARMRRWRGAGCAUGUGGUUUAAUUCGACGAUACACGAAGAACCUUACCUGGACUUGACAUAGUAAGAACUUUCUAGAGAUAGAUUGGUGUCUGCUUGCAGAAACUUAUAUACAGGUGCUGCACGGCUGUCGUCAGCUCGUGUCGUGAGAUGUUGGGUUAAGUCCCGCAACGAGCGCAACCCUCGUCAUUAGUUGCUAACAGUUCGGCUGAGAACUCUAAUGAGACUGCCUACGCAAGUAGGAGGAAGGUGAGGACGACGUCAAGUCAUCAUGGCCCUUACGUCCAGGGCUACACACGUGCUACAAUGGGAUAUACAAAGAGCAGCAAUACGGUGACGUGGAGCAAAUCUCAAAAAUAUCUCCCAGUUCGGAUUGUAGUCUGCAACUCGACUAUAUGA
rnacentral:rRNA from 1 species